GACGAACGCUGGCGGCGUGCUUAACACAUGCAAGUCGAACGGAAAGGCCCUGCUUUUGUGGGGUGCUCGAGUGGCGAACGGGUGAGUAACACGUGAGUAACCUGCCCUUGACUUUGGGAUAACUUCAGGAAACUGGGGCUAAUACCGGAUAGGAGCUCCUGCUGCAUGGUGGGGGUUGGAAAGUUUCGGCGGUUGGGAUGGACUCGCGGCUUAUCAGCUUGUUGGUGGGGUAGUGGCUUACCAAGGCUUUGCCGGGUAGCCGGCCUGAGAGGGUGACCGGCCACAUUGGGACUGAGAUACGGCCCAGACUCCUACGGGAGGCAGCAGUGGGGAAUAUUGCACAAUGGGCGGAAGCCUGAUGCAGCAACGCCGCGUGCGGGAUGACGGCCUUCGGGUUGUAAACCGCUUUCGCCUGUGACGAAGCGUGAGUGACGGUAAUGGGUAAAGAAGCACCGGCUAACUACGUG
rnacentral:rRNA from 1 species